rnacentral:rRNA from 1 species
UGGGGAAUCAUGGUCAAUGGGCGAAAGCCUGAACCUGCGACGCCGCGUGAGUGAUGAAGGUCGUAAGAUCGUAAAACUCUUUUCAGGGAUCUUAAAGCACAACCGUCAACAACGGCUGUGUGUGACUCUCCCUGGAAGAAGCCCCAGCCAACUACGUGCCAGCAGCUGCGGUAAUACGUAGGGGGCGAGCGUUAUUCGGAAUUACUGGGUGUGAAGGGUAUGUAGGCGGCCCUUCAAGUCGCGUGUCCACGUCCAGUGCUCAACGCUGGGUGUAAAGGGUAUGUAGGCG